rnacentral:rRNA from 1 species
GUGAGGAAUAUUGCGCAAUGGAGGCAACUCUGACGCAGCCAUGCCGCGUGCAGGAAGAAGGCGCUACGCGUUGUAAACUGCUUUUAACCGGGAAGAAACCCCAGGACGUGUCCUGGGUUGACGGUACCGGAGGAAUAAGCACCGGCUAACUUCGUGCCAGCAGCCGCGGUAAUACGAAGGGUGCAAGCGUUAUCCGGAUGCAUUGGGUUUAAAGGGUGCGUAGGCGGAGCGUUAAGUCAGUGGUGAAAUCCUGCAGCGUAACUGUAGGCUUGCCAUUGAUACUGGCGCUCUUGAGUGCGCUUGAAGUGGGCGGAAUGUGCCGUGUAGCGGUGAAAUGCUUAGAUAUGGCACAGAACACCAAUUGCGAAGGCAGCUCACUAAGGCGAUACUGACGCUGAGGCACGAAAGCGUGGGGAUCGAACAGGAUUAGAAACCCCGGUAGUCC